CGCCGGGACCCGGAAGCACUCGCGGAGGCCCCGCCCCGCCCGGCAAAAUCGCUGCCGGGGGGGGCGGUAUUUCCUUUCUGCCCUCGCGCUCGUCGUGGUUUCUCCAGGCCCGCCCUCGACAUGCAGAACGACGCCGGCGAGUUCGUGGACCUGUACGUGCCGCGGAAAUGCUCCGCCAGCAACCGCAUCAUCGGCGCCAAGGACCACGCGUCCAUCCAGAUGAACGUGGCCGAGGUUGACAAAGCAACAGGCAGGUUCAACGGCCAGUUUAAAACCUACGCCAUCUGUGGGGCCAUUCGCAGGAUGUCAGGUGUGAGGCUGUGUUACAGACGUCUGCCCGUGGCCAGCCCACCUCCGCUCAGUUGGGACUGCCUCGCGGCUGGACCUCUGCCAGCUCGGGGCGGCAGGGAGAGAGCCCCAACGUGAUCUUUUCUAGGGUGAGUCAGAUGACUCCAUCCUUCGAUUGGCCAAGGCUGAUGGCAUCGUCUCAAAGAACUUCUGAUGAAAGAUGCCCACAUAUAUGGAAGAUCUGUCAUAAAUAAAUAAAGCCUACCCGUGUUGGUUUGCU